GACAGAGGGUGCAAGCGUUGUUCGGAAUUACUGGGCGUAAAGCGCGUGUAGGUUGUACGGCUAGUCGGAUGUGAAAUCCCAUGGCUUAACCAUGGAACUGCGUUCGAUACUGCCGAACUAGAGUCCAGGAGAGGGAAGUGGAAUUCCCAGUGUAGAAGUGAAAUUCGUAGAUAUUGGGAGGAACACCGGCAGCGAAAGCGACUUCCUGGCCUGGCACUGACACUGAUACGCGAAAGCGUGGGGAG
rnacentral:rRNA from 1 species